GUCACUUGCGCUUCUUCCCUGCUGAAGAGGUUUACAACCCGAAGGCCGUCAUCCCUCACGCGGCGUCGCUGCAUCAGGCUUUCGCCCAUUGUGCAAUAUUCCCCACUGCUGCCUCCCGUAGGAGUCUGGGCCGUGUCUCAGUCCCAGUGUGGCCGGUCGCCCUCUCAGGCCGGCUACCCGUCGUCGCCUUGGUAGGCCAUCACCCCACCAACAAGCUGAUAGGCCGCGGGCUCAUCCUUCACCGCCGGAGCUUUCAACCCUCCCCCAUGCGGAGGAAAGUAUUAUCCGGUAUUAGACCCCGUUUCCAGGGCUUGUCCCAGAGUGAAGGGCAGAUUGCCCACGUGUUACUCACCCGUUCGCCACUAAUCCACCCCGAAAGGCUUCAUCGUUCGACUUGCAUGUGUUAAGCACGCCGCCAGCGUUCGUCCUGAGCCAGGAUCAAACUCU
rnacentral:rRNA from 1 species